UUUGGUCCUCCCAUGAAUCCAGAGCGGCAUCCGCCUUGGGCGCCAAACCUCACGCUCCGGGCUAACAAAUCGGGUACGGCUCCGCGGCACCGUGGGCUAGUGACCCAGGCCCGAAUCAGUAAAUGUACCAGAGGGUUAGCCCAAGUAUAAAGAGCCCGCCAUUAGUUGCGCAGACACAACCCUUUUCUUAACUGCUGCCCGACCCUUUACAAAAGGAGCCGUGGGGAUCCGACAUCUAUCUGGUUCGUUUUCCUUCAUGUACUUAGAGGCCUUAAGCUCCCCGAACGAGGAUAAAUAAAAUUCAAUGAAUAACA